GGGGAACUGAAACAUCUAAGUACCCGCAGGAAAGUAAAGAAAUUUCGAUUCCCCCAGUAGCGGCGAGCGAACGGGGAACAGCCCAAACCAAGAAGCUUGCUUCUUGGGGUUGUAGGACUGGACAUUUGAGUUAACAAGAAAGACUGUAGCUAAACGACUUGGGAAGGUCGGCCAGAGCGGGUGACAGCCCCGUAAGCGAAACAGUUUUUCCUCAGCCCAGGAUCCUGAGUACGGCGGAACACGUGUAACUCCGUCGGAAACCGGGAGGACCAUCUCCCAAGGCUAAAUACUACCUAGUGACCGAUAGUGAACCAGUACCGUGAGGGAAAGGUGAAAAGCACCCCGGGAGGGGAGUGAAAUAGUUCCUGAAACCAUGUGCCUACAAGUAGUCAGAGCCCGUUAAGGGGUGAUGGCGUGCCUUUUGUAGAAUGAACCGGCGAGUUACGUUAACGUGCCAGGUUAAGGUGGAAAGACCGGAGCCGCAGCGAAAGCGAGUCUGAACAGGGCGCACGAGUACGUUGACGUAGACCCGAAACCAAGUGACCUACCCAUGUCCAGGUUGAAAGUGCGGUAAAACGCACCGGAGGACCGAACCCAUGUAUGUUGAAAAAUGCUGGGAUGAGGUGUGGGUAGCGGUGAAAUUCCAAACGAACUUGGAGAUAGCUGGUUCUCUCCGAAAUAGCUUUAGGGCUAGCCUCGGAAGUUAAGGAUCGUGGAGGUAGAGCACUGUUUGGACUAGGGGCCCGUCUUGGGUUACUGAAUUCAGAUAAACUCCGAAUGCCACUGAUCUUGUUCCGGGAGUCAGACUGCGAGUGAUAAGAUCCGUAGUCGAAAGGGAAACAGCCCAGACCACCAAUUAAGGUCCCUAAAUAUGUGUUAAGUGGAAAAGGAUGUGGGAUCGCACAGACAACUAGGAUGUUGGCUCAGAAGCAGCCACCAUUCAAAGAGUGCGUAAUAGCUCACUAGUCGAGUGAUCCUGCGCCGAAAAUGUAACGGGGCUAAACACAUUACCGAAAUUGUGGAUCCGACCUUUGGGUCGGGUGAUAGGAGAGCGUUCUAAGGGCGAAGAAGCCAGACCGCAAGGACUGGUGGAGCGCUUAGAAGUGAGAAUGCCGGUAUGAGUAGCGCAAGGUCAGUGAGAAUCUGACCCACCGUAUGACUAAGGUUUCCUGGGGAAGGCUCGUCCUCCCAGGGUUAGUCGGGACCUAAGCUGAGGCCAAGAGGCGUAAGCGAUGGAUAACAGGUGGAGAUUCCUGUACUGAUCAGAUCUGUUUGAGCAAUGGAGGGACGCAGGAGGCUAACGGAGCGUGCAGCUGGAAUUGCACGUCCAAGCAGCGAGUCGCAAAACGAGUGAAAGGCUUGUUUUGGUGGUAGAUGAGCUGUGAUGGGGAGCGAAAUUUAAGUAGCGAAGGAAGUCAUGUCACACUGCCGAGAAAAGCUUCUAGCGAAGAUCUGAUCACCCGUACCGCAAACCGACACAGGUAGUCGAGGAGAGUAUCCUCAGGUGAGCGAGUGAACUCUCGUUAAGGAACUCGGCAAAAUGACCCCGUAACUUCGGGAGAAGGGGUGCUGGUCGACAGACCAGCCGCAGUGAAUAGGCCCAGGCGACUGUUUAUCAAAAACACAGGUUUCUGCAAAAUCGUAAGAUGAUGUAUAGGGGCUGACGCCUGCCCGGUGCUGGAAGGUUAAGAGGAUGAGU
rnacentral:rRNA from 1 species